rnacentral:rRNA from 1 species
CCUACGGGAGGCAGCAGUGGGGAAUAUUGGACAAUGGGCGGAAGCCUGAUCCAGCAACGCCGCGUGAGGGAUGACGGCCUUCGGGUUGUAAACCUCUUUCAACUCCGACGAAGCGCAAGUGACGGUAGGGGUAGAAGAAGCACCGGCCAACUACGUGCCAGCAGCCGCGGUAAUACGUAGGGUGCGAGCGUUGUCCGGAAUUAUUGGGCGUAAAGGGCUCGUAGGCGGUUUGUCGCGUCGGGAGUGAAAACAUCGGGCUUAACUCGGUGCUUGCUUUCGAUACGGGCAGACUUGAGGCAUGCAGGGGAGAACGGAAUUCCUGGUGUAGCGGUGAAAUGCGCAGAUAUCAGGAGGAACACCGGUGGCGAAGGCGGUUCUCUGGGCAUGUUCUGACGCUGAGGAGCGAAAGUGUGGGGAGCGAACAGGAUUAGAUACCCUGG